CCCCUCGUAGUUCAAUGGAUAGAAUAGCUCACUCCUAACGAGCUGAUGUAGGUUCGAUUCCUGCCGAGGGGA
rnacentral:tRNA from 1 species